rnacentral:rRNA from 1 species
CCGGCGCACGGGUGAGUAACGCGUAUCCAACCUGCCGUCUACUCUUGGACAGCCUUCUGAAAGGAAGAUUAAUACAAGAUGGCAUCAUGAGUCCGCAUGUUCACAUGAUUAAAGGUAUUCCGGUAGACGAUGGGGAUGCGUUCCAUUAGAUAGUAGGCGGGGUAACGGCCCACCUAGUCUUCGAUGGAUAGGGGUUCUGAGAGGAAGGUCCCCCACAUUGGAACUGAGACACGGUCCAA